AUGAUCUCUACAUCCCUCCUGCUGCUGCUGCUGGCAGCCGGACACUGUGUUCACUGUGUUGAGCUGAUCCAGACCGGAUCCACAGUAUUACCCCCUGGUCAGUCACUGACUCUGACCUGUAAAGUGUCUGGAUAUUCAUUAACUAGUACCGACUGUACACACUGGAUCCGACAACCUGCAGGAAAAACUCUGGAGUGGAUCGGACGGAUAUGUUAUGAUGGGAGCACUGCCUACAGUGAGAAACUGAAAAGCAGGUUUCAGGUUUCCAGAGACACGUCCAGCAGCACAGUAACAUUAACAGGGCAGAACAUGCAGACUGAAGACACAGCUGUGUAUUACUGUGCUCAUUCUUAUGGACAGUCCCUGACUUCCUCUGCUUCUGUGGUGAAGAGACCUGGAGAGUCAGUCACUCUGUCCUGUACUGUCUCCGGAUUCUCAAUGGGCAGCUACUACAUGCACUGGAUCCGUCAGAAACCAGGACGAGGAUUGGAGUGGAUCGGAUGCAUUGACACUGGCACUGGCAGGAUAUUUGCUCAGUCUCUGCAGGGCCAGUUCUCCAUCACUAAAGACACCAGUAAAAACAUUCUGUACCUCGAAGUGAAGAGUCUGAAAGCUGAAGACACGGCUUCUAUAUAG